rnacentral:rRNA from 1 species
GACAGAGGGUGCAAACGUUGCUCGGAAUUACUGGGCGUAAAGGGCGCGUAGGCGGCCUGCUAAGUCGAACGUGAAAUCCCUGGGCUCAACCCAGGAACUGCGUCCGAUACUGGUUGGCUUGAAUCCGGGAGAGGGAUGUGGAAUUCCAGGUGUAGCGGUGAAAUGCGUAGAUAUCUGGAGGAACACCGGGUGGCGAAGGCGACAUCCUGGACCGGCAUUGACGGCUGACGGCGCGAAAAGCCAGGGGAGCAAACGGG